GCCCUAGUGGCGCAAUUGGCUAGCGCAUAGAGUUUCUACGACAUGACUAUCGGUUAUUCGUAACAAGCGCCUCUAAGGCUUUGGGUUCGAGUCCCAACUGGGGUU